rnacentral:rRNA from 1 species
AGGACGAACGCUGGCGGCGUGCUUAACACAUGCAAGUCGAGCGGAAAGGCCUUUCGGGGUACUCGAGCGGCGAACGGGUGAGUAACACGUGAGUAAUCUGCCCAUCGCUUCAGGAUAGCCAUCGGAAACGGUGAUUAAUACUGGAUAUGACAUUCCUUCGCAUGUUGGGGUGUGGAAAGUUUUUUCGGCGGUGGAUGUGCUCGCGGCCUAUCAGCUUGUUGGUGGGGUAAUGGCCUACCAAGGCUUUGACGGGUAGCCGGCCUGAGAGGGUGACCGGCCACACUGGGACUGAGACACGGCCCAGACUCCUACGGGAGCAGCAGUGGGGAAUAUUGGACAAUGGGCGGAAGCCUGAUCCAGCAACGCCGCGUGAGGGAUGACGGCC